rnacentral:rRNA from 1 species
AACGAACGCUGGCGGCAGGCUUAACACAUGCAAGUCGAACGCCCCGCAAGGGGAGUGGCAGACGGGUGAGUAACGCGUGGGAAUCUACCCAGAUCUUCGGAACAACUGAGGGAAACUUCAGCUAAUACCGGAUACGCCCUACGGGGGAAAGGAUUUAUCGGAUCUGGAUGAGCCCGCGUUGGAUUAGCUAGUUGGUGGGGUAAUGGCCUACCAAGGCGACGAUCCAUAGCUGGUCUGAGAGGAUGAUCAGCCACACUGGGACUGAGACACGGCCCAGACUCCUACGGGAGGCAGCAGUGGGGAAUAUUGGACAAUGGGCGCAAGCCUGAUCCAGCCAUGCCGCGUGAGUGAUGAAGGCCUUAGGGUUGUAAACUCUUUCAGUGGGGAAGAUAAUGACGGUACCCACAGAAGAAGCCCCCGGCUAACUUCGU